AACGAACGCUGGCGGCAUGCCUAACACAUGCAAGUCGAACGAGACCUUCGGGUCUAGUGGCGCACGGGUGCGUAACGCGUGGGAACCUGCCCUUAGGUUCGGAAUAACUCCCCGAAAGGGGUGCUAAUACCGGAUAAUGUCUUCGGACCAAAGAUUUAUCGCCUUUGGAUGGGCCCGCGUUGGAUUAGCUAGUUGGUAGGGUAAGAGCCUACCAAGGCGACGAUCCAUAGCUGGUCUGAGAGGAUGAUCAGCCACACUGGGACUGAGACACGGCCCAGACUCCUACGGGAGGCAGCAGUGGGGAAUAUUGGACAAUGGGCGAAAGCCUGAUCCUGCAAUGCCGCGUGAGUGAUGAAGGCCUUAGGGUUGUAAAGCUCUUUUACCCGGGAUGAUAAUGACAGUACCGGGAGAAUAAGCUCCGGCUAACUCCGUG
rnacentral:rRNA from 1 species